AAAUGCGAUAAUUAAUGUGAAUUGCAGAAUUCAGUGAAUCAUCGAGUCUUUGAACACACAUUGCGCCCCCUGGUAUUCCGGGGGGCAUGCCUGUCCGAGCGUCAUUGCUGCCCUCAAGCACGGCUUGUGUGUUGGGCUUCCGUCCCUGGCAACGGGGACGGGCCCAAAAGGCAGUGGCGGCACCAUGUCUGGUCCUCGAGCGUAUGGGGCUUUGUCACCCGCUCCCGUAGGUCCAGCUGGCAGCUAGCCUCGCAACCAAUCUUUUUAACCAGGUUGACCUCGGAUCAGGUAGGGAUACCCGCUGAACUUAAGC
rnacentral:misc_RNA from 1 species